GCCGGGUUCGAAUUUUUUGCUGGCUGGAAUGUGGACCGCCUUAUCAAGUGCGUCUACGCUUUCGGUGAUAAAAAAUUGCUACUGGUAAAUGCACUUUUAGCCUUUAUUAAAAUUUUACGGACGUAUAACGAAAUGUAUAUGGGCAAUUCUCACAAACUUUGAAUUUUUUUGUGAAAAAAAUUAUUUUCGAUUUCGAAAAUUUUCUAAAUAUAUACCUUUUUUAUGCCCACGUCAACGAUUGUACUAAGUGUGUGGUACAAAUUGAUAAAUUGGUUUCCGAGAUACGCAUACAGUGAACCAAGUAAAAACUGGGACCGACAAUUUAAUUUCUUGCUACUGGAGAAUCAUUCCGUUCUUUGGCGUUUCAAUAUAGGGUAUCUCAUUCAUGGAUUUCUCAUAUAGUGAGGCAAGUUUCACAAAGUAUUGUGAAGAAUAUGCUAGACGUUUUACCACAACUAACAGAAGAUUUCAUGCGGAUAACUGCAAACAAAUUUAUGGCACUGUGGAAUUUUCCCAACUGUGUGGGAGCCAUAGACGGCAAACACAUACGAAUAAAAUCACCUAAUAACAGUGGAUCCUUGUUUUUUAAUUAUAAGGAGUAUUAUUCGAUGGUUUUGUUGGCGAUUGUCGAUGCAGAUUGCAAAUUUCUGGCAGUAGAUGUUGGGUCAUAUGGCAGGGAGGGGGAUGCAGGAAUUUAUUUAAAAAGCAACAUUGGUCGCAGAAUACAAAAUAUUGAAUUCAAAUUCCCAGCGCCUCACCCUCUUUCUGAAUCAACAGAAGCUGUGCCUUGUAGUGUUGUUCCGAUACGACCUUGUACUCGAUACCUGUACUCUUUAAAAAUAUUGAAGAAAAGUAUCGAUGCCACAAAUGUAUCGGAGAGAAGUACUCGAUACUUACUCA